AUCUACCCGACGAGUCCCAAAUAGGACAAAAUGCGUAUUGUCCUAGAU
rnacentral:hammerhead_ribozyme from 1 species